UGGCCUCCAAGGGUACUGUACGUGUGUGGUAUAUGGAUGAGCAAGCAGGCAAAACACUCAUACACCUAAAAAUGAUGUUUUUAAAGGAAAAAAUGCCCGUAGACUUACAUUUGGGCCAAUCUGAUGGCGGUACGUUCUCAAGUGUGUGGGGUUUUGUUGUUGCUGUUGAUGGUGGUGGUUGGUUGUUCUGGGUUACUCUAACUUAUGCUGUCAAAAAAUCUAACCAGCACAAAUGGGUCCAAAUAGAAGCUGAUUCUGUCGUUAAUCAGGUCCUGUGACAUUGGACUCACUGUUUCACACCUUGGCACCGCUGUCACUUCAGGUGUUAGAGGAGGAGUGCCUGUCGCACAAAUGCCUAAGAGUGGUUGGAAUCCAGUAAGACACAGAAACGUGCACGCCAUUGGAGUUCCUGGAGAAUAAGAGUUCAGUCGUGUUAACCAGCAAGGUCAUCAGGAGUAACCUGCCCCCGAUGAUCUAAUCCUAGAAGAGCUGCUUCCAAUCUGUAAAGCAAGUGGCUGGAGCCGAGGAGUAAUUGCCUAGCCCCUGGCAGGCUAAGCUAGGCGAAUAGCCCUGGUUCUCCAGUUCUGAGUUCCAAGGGAGCCUCUGUUAGAGCUGCUCAGGUCCCACUGUGAAAGCACGGAAGAGCUGCCUCCCUUCAUUCUGAGAUAAUGAGUUCUCUACCCACAAAGAGAUGCAAAGGGAGGUCGGACAGCCACUUGCUGGGCAUAGAGAAGGGAAGACUCCAUCGUCAACAAAGGGCAAAGCCCACACUGCUUGGGGAUCACUUCCAGCCUAAAUCUCCCUCCUGUACAGAGAUAUGGAACCUUCCAGAAACUGGUCUCUGCUGCUCCAAUCAAGCAGCCACAUAGAAAAGCCGUGAGUCAGUCAGCCUGUUCCUGUUGGUCCACCCAGGCUGGAACACACUAAAAACCCAAACAAAACAAGUGUGUCUCUCACAAGCAGAAGAGUGAUAAGGGAUCUGGUCAGAGGCUUUGCCUAAUGACCCACUGGCUGUUUGUUCUGUGGAUUCUGACCAGGAAUUUAUGAGGAAGAAUCUAAAGUCUAUGAUUGGGAAACUGGGAAGAAAGCCAUCAGGCCGGGUUGGGAGCAAAGCGUUGGAUGAAAGAAUAGAUAUUUGGAUAUCGGUAGUCCACUCCAUGAAUCAGCGGCUACAGUCCAGUCCAUUUGGCAGACGCCACACAGGGAUCAGCGCGGGCAGCUCAAUCCAGAAGGCUCACCAACUGGCCAGAGUCCACCUUGCAAGCGGCAAGAAGCCACAGGAACCUCAGGAGACGUUCUCUGCACCCUUCCUAGCACAUGGACGAUGAUGAUGAUGAUGAUGAUGAGGAGGAGGAGGAGGAGGAGGAGGAGGAGGAGGAGGAGGAGGAGGAGAAGAAGAAGAAGAAGAAGAAGAAGAAGAAGAAGAAGAAGAAGAAGAAGAAGAAGAAGAAGAAGAAGAAGAAGAAGAAGAAGGUGUGAUGGAGAGAGAGAGAGAGAGAGAGAGAGAGAGAGAGAGAGAGAGAGAUAUCCUGGGAAAGAAUGAGGCAAAACCCAAGUGCACUUGCUGUUGGCUUCUCCAAAGAGCCACAGCUCAGAGUCUUAGCAUGAGCCACGUACACCAUUUUGUUGGCUCUCGAGUUACAUCUCAAAAGAUUGCCAAGAAACUUUCCUUUUCCUUUUCUUGCUGCUAAGUGAGAUUAUAGGGCGCUUUGGAUGGGAUUAUAAUCUGACCAUAUAAAACUGGGAGCCACUUGGACUGCACCGAAGUUUAGGAUGGAUCUUUUCCUAUAAAUAGGUUUCUCAUGAGAUUCCUGGAAAAACUUUUGGUCCACAGCCCUGUUUCUGAAAGUUAAAGGCCUUGUGAAUGAGAAUUCCUGGGAAGAAGCCUGUCCUGUUGGCUGUUUAGCUAAUUAAAACUUCAAAGAGGUGGAGAGGCUGGGCUCUGGCAGUUUCAGGCCCAAUUACAAUUUAUGUGAUAAUUAGCUUAGUCAACAACCAUUCUGUACUCCAGCUGUGCCAGACCUGACAUCCUGCUAGGCCUGGUAACCUAACAGCAAAACCUUUGAAAUGUAGGAACUUGGACGGGACUCUAUUCUCCACCGCACAAGGACUAAGGAUGCUAUCAGAUAACAGCCAAUACCUGUAGCUAAGAUUUCUCCACUGUGCUCCGCUUACUUUAAAACCACCUUGAUUUAUAUGUUUCUUUGUACUGUUACCAUAAAAGCUCCAUGGAACCUGUGGUAAUGCCAGCUCCGUGUUUCUGAGCCACAGCCACCCAUACGUUUGCUCUGGAACCAGUUCUCUCACUCCCUUGAGUUGAGAACUGCUGUUUUUGCCUAGAGAGUUUAAGCAAAUGUUAACUGUGUUGGAGUUCUUGAUUCUCAGCUGGUGAGAGGCUUCAAUCAGACUCUGAAGUAACGGCUACUCUCUCUUCCCGUGUCUCCAUAAUUUCCCCUUUCUGUCUGUCUCAGUGGGAGCCAGGGUUCUCUGCAGCACAGUUUAGGAGCAGACUGGGAAAUGGGGUCCAGGGUAGCAAGUUAGAAGGUGGGAUCGUGACUUUGGGAAUGCUCCUGCAGGCCUGCAAGAGGCUGGCCCCAGAAGGGGCUUAGAGGUAGCAGCUCUAAGCGGGAACUAAGGAGCCACGGCUACCGGAAAACCGGAGUGGAAGGAGAUGCUGGACAUUCAGACUAACAGCACCAGCCUACCCGUCAGCUAGAGUGGGAGGAAGGUUGGGACCAGGGGUCUAACUCAAGAGUCUUCCCUCAAGCAGCUGUGUGGCCUCCAGGGCAUUCAGGUUGGGUAUCAGAGGCUAUGCCCCUCUGAUGUGCUGCAGCUGUGAAAUCUCUCUCCCAGUCUGCUGCAGUGUUCUCUCUCCCUCCUCAUCUGGUCUCUGGGAAGGCGAAGGCAUCCACAAGAGGGUGCUUGUGAUGUGAGACGUCCGGGACAUUUUCUACUCGGCCUCCAUGGUCACUUGCCAGCCAGCCCUCUCCACUCUUCCCUGUGCCUUGAGAGGAGAGUCACUGGGCUGUCAGCCUAACUGACUCACCUUUGGGUUCCCCUGGGUCCAUCCGUAUGGCAUAAUAAAAAGCCCAGGUUGCCAGCACCUUGGAAUUUCCCCGAGUGAUAAGAAAUGCUUUGUUAUGCAUAAUGACUUUUUAAACUUCUUCAGAGCUCAUGCAAAUGAGAUGACUCAAUAUAGGAAGCCCUGUUUAGCUUCCCAGGAGGGACUGGUCACCAAACAGAUUGAAUAAAUCCUUAAAAGGUCAGAGACAGCCCUACCCUGAGAGACAAAAUUGUAGAGAUUUGGGGAGAUUGUGUGUCCAGAGAAGGUGUGAAAGCCAUGGAAAUUCUGUACCAAUCUGCAAGAACACACAAACACACACACACACACACACACACACACACACACACACACACACACCCUCCCAGGCAAGCCUGUUCUGGGUGCCUGAUAGUUUCCUGCUACAAGACUACAUUUCCCAGCUCUCCUUGUGGCCAGGCUGAGAUGCUCUGGAAAGGAAGAAAUAUGGAUACAGUGUGGUAACAAUUUCAUCCCCUAUAACAAACGGGUGGUAUCCCAUCUUCUGUAGGCAUUUUGCAUCCAUACACAUGGGCGGUCAGAUGCUCCUUGCUGUGAACAAGGUCUUGCCUAUAUAAGGUCAGAAGCUUCCUUCCUUCUGCCCUUUCUGUCCCUCUUCAAGCCCAUAUUUCCCACGUAAUCUAUCAAUGCUCUGUAGCAAACUGCUGACCUGGUGGUCUAUCCUGAGCUCCAUAACUUGCUCUAUGAACCACCAAACCUGUGAAGAGAUUAUGUCAAUUCCAGACUGGUGGUCAAGUCAUUCAGUGGUGCAGAUGGCUAGAGGGCCUCCACUUUCAGCCUGACAUCCGAAGUGAGGGCACUCUUGGGAGUCUGGACUAAGUCUGAGAGUUAAUAUUGAGGUAGGGUAGACAGGGAAGUGGUGAGAGGAGGGGCUGGAGCGUCCUCACUGCCAUCUGGAUAACGUCUGUUGCCAGCUGAAAAUUCCAGCACAGUUAGCAUUUACUGGGGAGGUUCCUGGACACAGACGUAAUAUUCCGCUCAUGUAAAAAUAUUUUCAAACAAGGGUGCUAAAAUAACAACCAACCAGGAUUAAGGCCCUAGUAUACAAGACUUCAAGUACAGUCUCAUUUUUCUCCUGGGUAUUUUCUGGGAAUCUCACAAUUAAGACGCAGGUGGGGAAAUUUGGGGAAGACAGGAUGAACCUCUCACCCAAGAAUCUGGUUGGAGCCUUUCCAAUAGAGGAGUAAGAAUUCUAGCAUCAGGGCUGGAGAGAUGGCUCAGCAGUUAAGAGCACUGAUUGCUCUUCUAGAGGUCCUGGGUUCAAUUCCCAGCAGCUACAUGGUAGCUCACAGCCAUGUGCAAUGGGAUCUGAUGCCCUCUUCCGGUGUGUCUAAAGACAGCUACAGUGUACUCAUAUAUAUAAAGCAAAUAAAUAAAUCUUAAAAGGAAACAAAAAAAGAAUUCCAGCACCAACUGCUUAAUACCUUUCCCCCUUCAUAACUAUAAAGUUUCUAGCAAUCUCACCAGAAACCUCACAGGAAGAUGUGUUCUAACCCCACCAUGCAAUCAAAAGUUACCUUAUCAAAUUAUAAUUCCACCCCAGGCAUCUUCAGAGCCUGCUCAAUUUAUCUUUCAUGAUGUAACUUGGGAGUCACCAAAAUAGUAUAUAUAUAUAUAUAUAUAUAUAUAUAUAUAUAUAUAUAUGCAUAUACAUGUAUAUGCAUUGUACAUAUAUGUAUGUGCACAUGAGUGUGUGCAUAUAUGCAUGCACAUGUGCACACACACAGGCGUGUGCAGCACAGCACGUGUGUGGAGGUCAGAGGACAGCUUGGUUGUGGGUUGGUGUAGCACUCAAGCUAGUGAACCAGCAGCUGGGGAGUGGGGACUCGUGUGCUGAGCCCCCUAGGGUGAUCAUCCUCGAGGUGGGUCCGGCUGGACAGCUGUCACCACCUGGGGACUCUGGGAACAAUGUAUUGGGCAGCCUUCCUUCUCUUCUGAGAAGCAGCAGUUGAGGGGAGAGCCAGCUAUUCAAGGUGACCCCUGUAGGCAGAAUGGAGUCUCCUGAUUUGACUCUGUCUCCUUCCCAUUUAGCUAAAAAAGGCACUUAGCGAACUCUCAUUAAAUUGUUUUUACAUUAUCCAAAGUCUUGGGUCAAUUAAUUUUUGGCUUUUGUGCUCCUUUUCUUCUCUGAAGAAUACCUGCAUAAUUUUAUUUUUCUUAUUUAAAGUGUGUUAUUUUGAGAGUUACCAGAGAACAAAUUUCCAACCUCCAACAAGAAGUCUUAUCUUGCUGGGGUUUUUUUCUUUUUUUUCUUUUUUUUCUUUUUGCAUUUAAAGAGCUGUUUGCAUCCUUCUGCCCUUCCCCCCACAUCUACACUGAGUUUUGCCUCCAUCAAAUUCUAUCCCCAGUCAAGUGAGAUGGCGCUGUCCGCCAUUUGUAGACGAGACAGAAAUGGUUCCUUGACUCACCAGUGGAGAGUGCAGGGUUGCCAGAUGCAGGGCAGCUUAGGGUAGGAUAUGCAGGGGAGGGAAGGUGGAAAUGAAGAGAGGGGAGGACAGAAAGGUCACCAUCUCAGAGUGGUCCGGACUCUGCAUACAAGUCUCAGACCAGAGAGCCACUGCUCCUGAAGGGCUCUCAGGAGACCGGACUGUGUGGAGGCGAGGAGGCUCCUGGCCCCUUUCUGCACUCCUAAUGAAGCUAGGAGACAUGGGGAACAAUGGCAACCUGAAAAUGGAGAGGACCUAGUACUGUGUUUGUGUCAGCAGUCUCUCCCACCCUCCUUCUCCUUCCCCUCCUUGCUCGAUGCCUCCCCCCCUCCUCCGUGCUUCCCUCUCACUUUAUAGAAUUUCUUUUAUUGAUUUUCUCAUGUCUCCUGGUUUUUCAGACUUGUAUCCUUCAUCUAUUAUAUGUCUUUCUAGCCCCUCUGAAGCCUUUAUGUACCCCCUUUUCUCUAUAUAUAUCCAUCUCGGCGUGUCCAAAACUCAGAAACCCAAACGGAUGACAGAUUGCUCUGACACAGAGCUGAGGCCCUCUGUUGAGUUUAUUUCUGGCCUCAGAGGCCGACUACAGUAGCGUUUGUAUUGUGUGUAUUUGUUCAGUCUCCCUUCCCGUUCCGAGCGUGUUUAAUUUUUCAUGAUGAAUUUGUUUUGUCUCCUCCACUUUCCCAAGAGCAUCACGGGGAGCCCAUUCUCUUCACAGGCAUCUCUUGCCAGUCCUUCCUGCCAGCCCCCCUCCCCAGUGGUGCUCAGGAAGUAGGUCGAAGUGUCAGCAUAGCCCCUCACCCACCACACAGGCUUCCAACCUUCUACCCAGUAGAAUUCUUUCAACUCAGCAUAGUGACUCUAAAGAGAGCAUGGUGGCUGGAACAGGCAUUAUUCCUUAUUACUGCCAUUGGCUCUCUCAAACGGAAAUCAUCUAAGAAUACCUAUUUAGCAAACGCCAUCUUAAAGUAGUCACUCAAUGCUCAUACCUCAACACCAUUGACAUCUAGUUUCUUCCACAAAAGCGCUGGCUUGGCCUGUGGGAUACGAAGGCUUUUCUUACUGUUCUCCAACUGUUCAUCUUACCCACACAGUUGCCGAAUGCAGUGAAGUGUCAGGCACUCGGUGAGGAGCUAGUGACAAUGUAGAUGGCCUCCCGUCUUUGAAGACGUUACGGUCUGGCUGGGGAGAGUGACCA